rnacentral:lncRNA from 1 species
UAAAAUAAUGAAAUUAAUCUAGAAAAGUACUAAUAAUAAAUAUAUUCUAUAUUUUGGAUAGGAUAUUUAUAAUAUAAGAUAAUUUAAUAAUUUUUAUUAAAUUUGAAGAGUAAUUUUAAUAUUGAUAAUUUUAAAGAAUUUUUAUACAAUAAGUGGUGGACAGCAUGACACUUAGGGCGUGUUUGGUUCGAAGUCGGAAUCGGAAUCAGAAUCGGAAUCGAAAUAAGCUGGAAUCGGAAUUGAAAUGACUCAUUACCUAAUUCUGUUUGGUUCAUCACCUGAAUCGGAAUCGGAAUAAAUCAUUCCCAUUGUCGGUGUUUGGUUCAGGUAAAUAUAAAAAACGUAAUCAGGUGAAUAUACUAAUCUUAUCUUUAUAAUAUAUUAAUUUAAAUUCAAAUUAAAAAUUAAAUAUUAAAAAUUUACAUCAAUAUUUUGAAAUAAUGUCAAAAUUUUAAAUCUAUUUUUUAAAAAAAAUUAAAAUUAAAAGUUUAGUGGAUAAUUCAAAAUAUAAAACUAAAUUUUGAUUUAUUCAAAUUCGAACUUAAAAUUACAAUUUAAAUUUUAAUUUGAAUCCAUAAAUUUAAUUUAAGUUUUAAAUAAAAUUUGAAUAAAACUUUAUAUAAAUUAAAAUUUAAUUUAAAUUCAAAUUCGUAAGUUAAAUUUGAAAUACUUGAUUAAAUUUUAAUUUUUAAUUCAUGUUGAAAUUAAAAUUUAAAAUUUAAAAUUUAAUUUCUAAAUUUAAAUUUAUAUUUUAAUUAAAAAACUUGAAAUAAUAAAUUUAAUUCGAAUAAAUAUCCAUUUCGUCCGGAUUCAACUUCCAAUCUGGCCUCCUAGACCGUAUUGAAAAAAGAGGUGAUUGGGGGAUUCCUAUUCCACUCGGGAAUCAGAAUCGGAAUGGGACUCCAGUGUACCAAACACUCACAAAUGGAUUCACCCAUUUCAAUUCCGAUUUCAGAAUGAAAAAAAAGCGAACCAAACAUGCCCGUAAUGUUUUGUUUAUUUUUAAUUCUUUUGCAUCUGUUUAAAGCGAGAAUUUUAAGUGCCUAUCGUUAAGAGCUCAAAACCUUUUUUUAAAUUAAUAAAUAAUUUUUUAAAUAAAAUUUUAAAAAAUAAAUAUUAUAUAUUAUUAUGUGUUGGUAUAUAUGUAUUUUUUAUGAUUGAUAUUGUAACACACUGGACCUUUGCAAAUUGCGAGGUUCGAGUGUUUGGAUGUAU